AGCAUAUCCAAUAAGCGGAGGAAAAGAAACUAACAAGGAUUCCCCUAGUAACUGCGAGUGAAGCGGGAAAAGCUCAAAUUUAAAAUCUGGCAGUCUUUGGCUGUCCGAGUUGUAAUCUAGAGAAGUGUUAUCCGCGCUGGACCGUGUACAAGUCUCCUGGAAUGGAGCGUCAUAGAGGGUGAGAAUCCCGUCUUUGACACGGACUGCCAGGGCUUUGUGAUGCGCUCUCAAAGAGUCGAGUUGUUUGGGAAUGCAGCUCAAAAUGGGUGGUAAAUUCCAUCUAAAGCUAAAUAUUGGCGAGAGACCGAUAGCGAACAAGUACCGUGAGGGAAAGAUGAAAAGAACUUUGGAAAGAGAGUUAAACAGUACGUGAAAUUGCUGAAAGGGAAACGCUUGAAGUCAGUCGCGUUGUCCAGGGAUCAACCUUGCUUUUGCUUGGUGCACUUUCUGGUUGACGGGUCAGCAUCAAUUUUGACUAUUGGAAAAAGAUUAGGGGAAUGUGACAUCUUCGGAUGUGUUAUAGCCCUUGGUUGCAUACAAUGGUUGGGAUUGAGGAACUCAGCACGCCGCAAGGCCGGGUUUUUAACCACGUACGUGCUUAGGAUGCUGGCAUAAUGGCUUUAAUCGACCCGUCUUGAAACACGGACCAAGGAGUCUAACAUGCCUGCGAGUGUUUGGGUGGAAAACCCGAGCGCGUAAUGAAAGUGAAAGUUGAGAUCCCUGUCGUGGGGAGCAUCGACGCCCGGACCAGACCUUUUGUGACGGUUCCGCGGUAGAGCAUGUAUGUUGGGACCCGAAAGAUGGUGAACUAUGCCUGAAUAGGGUGAAGCCAGGGGAAACCCUGGUGGAGGCUCGUAGCGAUUCUGACGUGCAAAUCGAUCGUCAAAUUUGGGUAUAGGGGCGAAAGACUAAUCGAACCAUCUAGUAGCUG
rnacentral:rRNA from 1 species